rnacentral:rRNA from 1 species
GAACAAGUACCGUGAGGGAAAGGUGAAAAGUACCCCGACAAGGGGAGUGAAAUAGUAUCUGAAACCAAAUGCUUACAAGCAGUCGGAGCAAGCAUUUAUGUCUUGUGACGGCGUACCUUUUGUAUAAUGGGUCAGCGACUUAGUUUAUCUAGCAAGCUUAAGCCGUUAGGUGUAGGCGUAGCGAAAGCGAGUCUGAAUAGGGCGACUAUAGUUAGAUGAAUUAGACCCGAAACCGAGUGAUCUAGCCAUGGCCAGGUUGAAAGCGGAGUAAAAUCCGCUGAAGGACCGAACCCACUACUGUUGAAAAAGUAGGGGAUGAGCUGUGGUUAGGGGUGAAAGGCCAAUCAAACUCGGAUAUAGCUGGUUCUCCGCGAAAUCUAUUUAGGUAGAGCGUUAUAGCGGUUACCAUCGGAGGUAGAGCACUGAAUGAGCUAGGGGGUCCCACAGACUUACCAAACUCAAUCAAACUCCGAAUGCCGAUGAGUAUAGCAUAGCAGACAGACUAUGGGUGCUAAGGUCCAUAGUCGAGAGGGAAAAAGCCCAGACCGCCAUCUAAGGUCCCUAAAUCAUGACUAAGUGUUAAAGGAUGUGAGAAGACCAAAACAACUAGGAUGUUGGCUUAGAAGCAGCCAUCAUUUAAAGAAAGCGUAAUAGCUCACUAGUCUAAAUAAGUUUUCUUGCGCCAACAAUGUAACGGGGCUCAAGUCAUGUACCGAAGAUGCGGAUUCACACAUUUGGUGUGAGUGGUAGCGGAGCGUUCCGUAAGCCUGUGAAGGUGAACCGUAAGGUUUGCUGGAGGUAUCGGAAGUGAGAAUGCUGACAUAAGUAGCGAUAAAGAAUGCGAGAAACAUUCUCGCCGAAAGUCCAAGGGUUCUUGCGUAAAGUUAAUCUGCGCAAGGUUAGUCGGCCCCUAAGGUGAGGCUGAAAGGCGUAAUCGAUGGGAAUCAGGUUAAUAUUCCUGAACCUGAAGGAUGUGACGAAAGUAGUAAGUUGUACAGUCUUAUUGGAUUGAUUGUGCAGCGAAUAUUUUCCAGGAAAUAACACCUUCAUUAUAGAC